UACAACUUUAGUUUUAAGCUGAAAUUUGGAGGUAGAUAUACAUAUACGUGUGACGCAGCGACAAGGUUCCAACGGUUUUUGUCUUUGACCACGGGUCAGUCGGCUUGUCUAUCCGCGCGCGACACACGUACAUACUGCUCUCGCAUAAAAAUCACGUGGUGUCUGUAACUUUCGAGAUUAAACUGUUUUUCGUAUCCCGUA